rnacentral:piRNA from 1 species
UUCUGAAUACCGAUUUUCCUA